rnacentral:ncRNA from 1 species
GGUUAAAUUAUUAAGAGCGCAUGGCGAAUGCCUUGGCACUAGAAGCUGAUGAAGGACGUGACGAACAACGAUAUGCUUCGGGGAGCUGUAAGUAGCUUUGAUCCGGAGAUUUCCGAAUGGGGAAACCCACUGAUAGUAAUGUGUCAGUAUCAUACAGUGAAUUCAUAGCUGUAUGAGAUGAACCCGGUGAACUGAAACAUCUUAGUAGCCGGAGGAGUAGAAAGAAAAAUCGAUUCCCUUAGUAGUGGCGAGCGAAAGGGGAACAGCCCAAACCAAUCUUCGGAUUGGGGUUGUAGGACUUCUCAUUAAGAGUAAAAAAUUCAUAAUAUAGUUGAAGUAUCUGGAAAGAUAUACCGUAGUAGGUGAUAGUCCUGUAAAUGAAAUAUUAUGAACUCUGAGGAGUAUCCUGAGUAGGGCGGGACACGUGAAACCCUGUCUGAAUCUGCGGGGCCCAUCCCGUAAGGCUAAAUACUCUCUAAUGACCGAUAGUGAACAAGUACCGUGAGGGAAAGGUGAAAAGAACCCCGGGAGGGGAGUGAAAUAGAAUACUGAAACCAUGUGCUUACAAGAAGUCAAAGCCCGUUAAUGGGUGAUGGCGUGCCUUUUGCAGAAUGAACCGGCGAGUUAUUGUUGCAUGCAAGGUUAAGUUGAAGAGACGGAGCCGAAGCGAAAGCGAGUCUGAAUAGGGCGCUUUAGUAUGCAGUAAUAGACCCGAAACCGAGUGAUCUAUCCUUGAGCAGGUUGAAGUGGUGGUAACACACCAUGGAGGACCGAACCGACGUCUGUGAAAAAGGCGCGGAUGACUUGAGGAUAGCGGAGAACCCGAAACCGAGUGAUCUAGCCAUGAGCAGGUUGAAGUAAGGGUAAGACCUUAUGGAGGACCGAACCGACGUACCCGGAAACGUGCGCGGAUGACUUGUGGUUAGCGGAGAAAUUCCAAUCGAACUCGGAUAUAGCUGGUUCUCCCCGAAAUAGGUUUAGGCCUAGCCUUCUAAUUAGUUACCUGGAGGUAGAGCACUGAAUGUAAGAUGGCGGCGUAUAGCUGUACUGAUUGCAAUCAAACUCCGAAUGCCAGGCUAAUAUGUAGAGGAGUCAGUGUAUGGGUGAUAACGUCCAUACGCGAGAGGAAAACAAUCCAGACCGCCAGUUAAGGUCCCAAAAUUUAUGCUAAGUGGGAAAGGAUGUGGAGUCGCUAGAACAGCUAGGAGGUUGGCUUAGAAGCAGCCAUCCUUUAAAGAGUGCGUAAUAGCUCACUAGUCGAGUGGCACUGCGCCGAAGAUGUACCGGGGCUAAAGCAUAAUACCGAAACUGCGGAUUACUUUGUAAUGGUAGGGGAGCGUUCUAAGUGCGCUGAAGGUUGAUCGUAAGGACAGCUGGAGCGCUUAGAAGUGAGAAUGCCGGUAUGAGUAGCGCAAGACGUGUGAGAAUCACGUCCACCGUUUGCCCAAGGUUUCCUGGGUCAAGUUCGUCUUCCCAGGGUUAGUCGGGUCCUAAGGCGAGGCCGAAAGGCGUAGUCGAUGGACAACAGGUUGAUAUUCCUGUACCACCUAUAUGACUGAUGGAGUGACGAAGGAGGCUAACAAGUGCCUGUUAUUGGAUUCAGGUCUAAGCACAAAGGCUUAUAUGUAGGGAAAUCCGCAUAUUGGUAGGCUGAAGUGUGAUGGCGAAAAAAGUAGCAAUACAAUUGAAGACUUGUGACGCCAAACUUCCAAGAAAAGCUUCUAGGGUUAAUUGUAUAGGUGCCCGUACCGAGAACCGCCACAGGUGGGCAAGGAGAGUAUCCUAAGGUGAGCGAGAGAACUAUGGUUAAGGAACUCGGCAAAAUGACCCCGUAACUU